rnacentral:rRNA from 1 species
GACGAACGCUGGCGGCGUGCUUAACACAUGCAAGUCGAACGGACAGGCGCUGCUCUUGCGGCGUGCUCGAGUGGCGAAGGCGUGAGUAACACGCGUGUAACCUCCACUUGUCUUAGGGAUAACUCCUGGGAACUCCGGAUCAUAUCGGAUAGGAGCUUCUGCUGCAUGGUGGGGGUUGGUAAGUUUCGGUGGUUGGGGCUGGUCUCGAGGCUUAUCCGCUUGUUAGUCGGGUUGUGGCUUACCAAGGCUUAGACGGCUAGCCUGCCUGAGAGGGUGACCGGCGACAUGGGGACUGAGAUACGGCCCAGACUGCAACGGGAGGCAGCGGUGGAGAAUAUUGCGCAAUAGGCGCGAGCGUGAUGCGGCAGCGCCGCGUGCGGGAUGACGGCCUUCGGGUUGUAAACCGCUUUCGCCGGUGACGAGGCGUGAGUGACGGUAAUGGGUAAGGAAGCACCGGCUAACUACGUG